rnacentral:rRNA from 1 species
AGUGAACGCUGGCGGUAGGCCUAACACAUGCAAGUCGAACGGCAGCACAGUAAGAGCUUGCUCUUACGGGUGGCGAGUGGCGGACGGGUGAGGAAUACAUCGGAAUCUACUUUUUCGUGGGGGAUAACGUAGGGAAAAUUACGCUAAUACCGCAUACGACCUACGGGUGAAAGCAGGGGAUCUUCGGCCCUUGCGCGAUUGAAUGAGCCGAUGUCGGAUUAGCUAGUUGGCGGGGUAAAGGCCCACCAAGGCGACGAUCCGUAGCUGGUCUGAGAGGAUGAUCAGCCACACUGGAACUGAGACACGGUCCAGACUCCUACGGGAGGCAGCAGUGGGGAAUAUUGGACAAUGGGCGCAAGCCUGAUCCAGCCAUACCGCGUGUGUGAAGAAGGCCUUCGGGUUGUAAAGCCCUUUUGUUGGGAAAGAAAAGCAGCAGGUUAAUACCCCGCUGUUCUGACGGUACCCAAAGAAUAAGCACCGGCUAACUUCGUG